AUUACUCCCAUUUCAUAUCUCUUCCUUUGGCAGUCCACCCUGGACUUGUAGAAAAGCUACAGAGUUUUCAGAAUUCAAUAAUGGGAAAUUUAAAUAAUAAUCAAGGUAAACAAGGGUGUGAUUCAAAUGAAGGAACAUCAGAUGAAGAAGAUUACGAUGGCCCUGUUGGUGGAGAUUCUUGUGUUGCUGUUAAGUUGAAGGUUCAUAACAAUGAUGAGCCCGUUAAAAUGAAGAUAGAGGUGACAGAUGCAAGUGUUGAUCCUAGGGUACCUCAAUCCUCAUUUUUAUCUGGUGAGGCAGUUAGCCUAAUCAUAUAUGGGUUAGGUUUGAAAAUAUCCAACUUCAACGACUGUUUAUCUUGUCUAAGAAGUUCCCUUGUUUUACAAUGAUUUUGUCUUGUGCCAUUUGAUUUUACAGGCACAUGUAUCGUUUCUCAUUCUACUGAGAUCUUUAUAUGUUUAUAUUGAGGGUUCCAACUUGAAUUGACGAUAGAUAAAAUCAUCAACUUAGUUUUCUGCCUCUUUCUUUCUAGGACCCCUACUCACCCAUCCACCCACACCCGCACCCACACCCAGACACACACUAAGAAAAAGAAAAGCCUGCUUCACUCGGUUUAUCUUCUAAACUUCGUACGUUUUAGUCAGUUUUUUGUGUCCAGUUUCAUUUCAUGACAUUAUUCUCUAAGCAUUCAUAAUCUUUCGCCCUUUUUUCCCCCUGCUGUUGUCCGAGAUAUUUAAUAUGACAUUCUGAAAUAGAAUGGUAAAAGAGGCUACAUUUGUAAAUAUGCUUGAUUAUUCUAGACCGUCUUCCAUGAAUGUUCUAAUAAAUUGCAACCAUCCACUAGAAAGAUUGCUCAUCAUGCCAAGCCUACUAAUGCUCACCUUCUUCUCUCUACAACUCCUUGUUUUCUACUGUAUAGAUAUCAUUCUUUUGUGAAACCCUUAGGUUUCGUGUGAUUUUUGGAAUUGCUGAGUGUUCCUAUGGGACUGUGUAUGUGUGUGUGUGUACACACAUAUUUGGGUGAGGUUUAUAUAAGGCACCCACCUUAUACUAUAUAGGUAGGGUGCGCCUCUAAAUUUUACCCAAAGAUGUAGUUCUUAAGUUGGAAACCUUAUGAUGCCUUGAAAUUCCAUGUUCAACCCUAAUUAUGAAAUUUAAAAUUUCGAAAAUGUUACAAAUUGAGAAUAUCCAUAAACACUUGAAAAUCUUGAAAAUAGACAAUAACUUGAUAGAAGAUGCACUAUUUUUAGGACUUGAAAUACUUUUUUUCUUUAUAUCAAUACAUCUGAAGGUCGAUAUGAUCAAUUGGAAGGUUUUCCAACUUCGGAAAACUCUUUUCUAUUGGAUCUUUAUGGUGCAUCUUACUUCUAUAGUACAAGGUUGCAACCUUAUAUAAACUGUUUCUUAUAUAUAUAUUAUUUUUGACAUCGUUCUAUUUUCUCAUUUUACAGACUUGGGAAUCUAUAAAUCCAUAUUUAUCAAGCCAAAAACAUUUCAUUUGACUGUUCUCAUGCUUAAAUUGUGGAAUAAGGAACGCGUUGCUACAGCUGCUGAGAUUUUACAGGUAGAGGAUCAAUCCAUUCAAAAGUAUCAUAUGUACUAAUGGUAGGAGUUCCAAGGGUAUGAUUUUUUUGCUGAUACAUGCAGAAAGUCUCUCCAAAAGUGAUCAAAGCUUUGGAAGGCCGUCCUAUUUCCAUCAAGUUGAAAGGGUUGGUAUGUUUAUUUUAUUUUUUCUUUUUACUUCUACUCAAAAGUUCACAAUUUCCUUUCCUUUUCUUUCCUUUAUUUUGUUUUAUUUUUGUUUUGGUGUCGGGGGAUGUAUGUAUUAUCAUUCAAUGAAUCCCUGAGUUUGAUGUUUGGAUUAUAUUUUCCUCAAGAUUAGCAUGUUACUUCAUGUACCAGGUGAAGGCAGCAGGGUGUUAAAUAAAAAAAUGAUGAGUAAGAAAAAAAACUUAACCAUUUGAAGGGUUUACCUUUUUUAAUAGGUUUCUCAUAUAUUGAUGUGUUUUCAUAAUCUUUUGUUGAUGUUUGCUCAUAAUUUUUGUCAGAUGUUUGCUCAUAAUUUUUUAUUGUUGGGUAAUGUUCCUUGUAGUGUUUGUUCUCAACACCUCAUCUUUACAAUGUAAUGUAUUAGAGGCCCUGAUGCACUGAGUCAUAUUCAUUUCUACUAUCUAAAUGCUUGCAAUGGUUUAUUGUCUAGCAUAAGUUUAUUAGGAUUUUCUUACGGAUGAACUUUGUAUUUUCAGUAGUUUUGUCAUGACAUGGUUUCAACUUGAAGCUAAGCCAUUAUUGGACCAAACUAGUUUGUAUAUCAUGCAGUUAAUGCAAUAGCGUUUCCUAGUUCAAGUUCUGAGCAAGAAUAGGAAUUUUCUUCGGCACUGGAUGAUUUUUUCCCCUCAUUUCUCUGCAUGGAUUUUACUAUUUAGGUUUAAAAAAGCUGGAUUAUGAAUUUUUGGAGAGAAUGUUUGGUUUUGUUGGUCUCAUAUCUAUUGAGAUUUGGCUGUUUCUUACAUUUUCCUUCUAAUAGUUAAUUGAAUGAGGUAAAUUACUUCUCAAGUGGAGUUAAUGUUGUAUGUAAUAUGUUGAAAAUGAUGGAUCACUGAAAUCUUUAAUAAUAAAGAUUCUAAUGGCUAGUAAUCAUGCCUUUUCCUUGUUUAAUCUUCUGAUGGGUCUUGAGCCUCAUAGAAUCACACUACCUGUAAUUUUCUUGAUAAUUAUAUUGGAUGUAUUUUUUGUGAAUAAAAAAGUUAGCUGCUUUUGCUUUCUUCAUGGUCCAUAUAUGGUUAAAUAUUUAUCUUUGCCCUACAUGAAGUUCUGAUAUCACUUAGAUUUGCAGACAUUCUCAAUCUCCAGUCUUGGAUGACUUCAUGUUAGUGUGUGUAUGAGGUGAAUUUUCAGGAAUUGCAUUGUUUCUCUUAUGUACAGGAGUGCAUGAAAGGUUCACCUUCAAAAGCCCGUGUUUUAUAUACUCCAGUUGAGGAGAUUGGUGGCGAGGGUCGCUUGAUGCGGGCUUGUCGUAUCCUGAAUAUAUGUAUAAUGGUUUUUGUUUUUUCCCCUUCAGAAGUUAUAUACAAUAUAUGUAUAAUAUUUCCAGUGCAACUUUAUGGGUAAUUGUCACCGAAAUAAUUAGUACACUAACUUUUUCCUUUUUCUUAAUUUUUUCUUUCUGAUGUUAUAUUUGAAUUUUCCUUUCUUGCUGAUUUUCUUGAGCUGAUUUUCUUGAGCUUUCCAUAGAAGCCAUUAUUGAUGCCUAUGUGGAAGCUGGCCUUGUUCUCGAGAAGGAUGCGUGCCAAAAGUUGAAGGUAUUGUAUUUUUUAUCCUUGUAUGAUCUGUGGCACCUUCUAAAAUGACUCAAUGUUAUAAUAGUUUUGAUAAUGGUGUUAUUUCUGUUUUUUAAUUUUUAUUUCUUUUGCAAUGUUCUUUGGAGACAUUCAACGUAAUAGCUAUGUUCAUUAGGUCUGUAUUGUAGACUUCCAAUCAAGUGCACUAUUAUCAUCCAUGUAAAAUAAUUGUAAGAUUUACUUUGAAACUGAGUCGCUGUUAUUUAUUUUUCUUGAAAACUGGGGGCUUUUCUAAGGUUUCCUCUAAUGGGAUUUUCUUUAAGAUCGUAGCAUUAGGGUGGUGAUACAUUCCACAACUAUGAUUUAGAGCUGGUAAAAUAAUCAUAAAAAAUAAAAAAAGGAUAUCUAGAAAAUGGAAAAGAAAAAUACAGAAAACAGAACAUUUAGUGGUAAUGAUUAAAUUGGCUUUUUUUGCAGCUGCAUGCGACAGUCAUGAAUGCAAGGCAUAGGAAAAGGUACCUUUAUGGCUUCUCUUCCGUCUAUUGUUAUUUCGGGAAACUAUACCGGAAGAGUCUUUUGUGGUACAUGGUGCAGAGCUGGACCAUCCACAGAUCAUUCACAAAAACGGAUGGUAGAGAUUAACUAAAUGGUACCUAUGAUGGACACAGAUUUAGAUUUUAUCUGCGCCUUCCAUUGUGGAGAAUGGACAGUGGAUGCCCCAGAUGUGUAUCACGUACAGGCUGUAUAUAUAUGCUUUCCCUUUUAGUUUUGAUAAUAGAUUUUGCACCGUCAAAGUUUGGAAAAGGAAUGGUAAAACCCAUAUUUGAUAAAUUUGCAAUUGCUUGUGUGUCAUUACUGUCACUGUUUAGGAAGAGGAUAACGAAAAAGUUCGAUUCCUUUGAUGCUUGCGACAUUUUCAAACGAUAUGGGUCUGAAGAGUGGGGUGAGUUUGUGAUUGGUGAAGCGCAUUUAUCGCAGAGGUUCAAGUUUGAUGAAAGUGGCUACUAUCAUUGUUGCGCUUCAAUUCCCUUCCCUCAGAGCCUCGAAGAUUAAUAGUUCUUUCGUUUUCUUUUUCUUUUUAUUUACAUGUUCAAUAAGUGUUUUAAUUGGGUAGUUUUUGAAUUAGGAUUUUUUGUCUCUCUUACUGUAUGGAUUGUUAAUCAGAUUAUGCAAUUAUUUUAUUUUCAAAGAAGAAAAAUUUAAUUGUGUUUUUAAUUUCUUGAUGUAUGCCCUUUUUGUUACUAAACACAAUUCAUGCUUCACCUUCAUCGCUCGUUGUGUCUAUGCACAUGAACAGGCUGUGUAUGUGAUAUACUUCCCUUCCCAACUGACAAAGUGGUUGUCACAAAAGAUUUGCCAAGAUUUAAAAGGUCAAGGGGGAUAUUAAAGGUGAUCUAACUAUAGGAUCUUUGUACACACAUAUGUGUACAAAGAUGGACCAAGAACCGGACCUAGUUCAAGUCGAUCCACCACCGACCUGAUCCAAUUGCCAACCCUAUCCUAAACGCGUAAAUGUUCCUAGGGAUUACUCUAGGCAAUCUAUUUAUAUUGAAGUACAUUUUGGGAAAAGUAUUUCUUAUGAAAUAGAUUUCAGCUGUUUGAAUGCUACAUGGAUGUAUAACAUUUUCAUUUUUUUUUCAAAAAAUUCAUUAAAUAUUUUUAUUAUAUUAUUCAUUAUAAUGUCUUUUUUUUUAAUUAAAUUUAUGGUAGUUUCUCUCUCUAAAUAUUUGAGGUAAUAAAUCUCUAAAAUAUUUCAAAUAGUUUCUCUCUCUAAAAUUUGAUAUAGUUUCUCUCUCUUUAAAACUUAAAAUUUGAGAUAGUUUUUUACUCUAAAUUUUUUAAGAUAGCUUCUCUCACUAUGAAUGUUUAAGUACUUUCCCUCUCUAAAAAUUAAAAUUUGAAAUAGUUUUUGUCUAAAAAUUUUAAGUACUUUGUCUUUCUAAAAUUUGAUAUAGUUUCUCUGUAACGUUUUAAGGUACUUUUAUUUCUAAAACUUAAAAUAUGAGAUAGUUUCUCUCUCUAAAAAAUUUGAGAUACUCUUUAUAAAACUUAAAAUUUGAUAUAGUUUCUCUAUCUAAAAAAUUAAAAACAGUUUCUCUUUCUAAAAAUUUUCAAAUACUUUUUUUAUCUAAAAUUUAAAAUUUGAGAUAGUUUUUCUCUUUAAAAUUUUUGAUAUAGUUUCUCUCUCUAAAAUUUUGAGGUAUUUUCUCUCUCUCUAUAAAUUUUCAAGUACUUUAUCUCUCUAAAACAUAAAAUUUAAGAUAUUUCUUUUGAUAUAGUUUAUCUUUUUAAAUUUUUUGAGAUAUUUUUUUCUUCUGAAAAUUUUCAAUUACUUGCUCUCUCUAAAACUUAAAAUUCGAUAUAGUUUCUCUCUCUAAAAUUUGAUAAAUUUUAGAUAGUUUUUCUCUCUAAAAUAGAUAUAAUUUCUUUCUAAAAUUUUAAUAUACUUUCUCUCUCUAAAACUUAGAAUUUGAGAUAGUUUCUUUCUCUAAAAUUUUUGAAAUAAUAACUCUCUCUAAAAAAAGUUUAGUACUCUUUCUAAAACUUAAAUUUGAUAUAAUUUAUCUCUCUCUAAGAAUUUUCAGGUACUUUCUCUUGAUAAAACUUAAAAUUUGAGAUAAUUUUUCUCUUUAAAAAAAUUGAUAUAGUUUUUCUCUUUAUAAAUUUUCAAGUACUUUCUCUGUUUAAAACUCAAAAUUUGAGAUAGUUUUUCUCUUUAAUUUUUUUUGAGAUGGUUUCUCCCUCUAAAACUUUUUUUAUAUCGCCGUCUCUAAAAUUUGAUAUAGUUUCUCUCUCUAAUAUUUUAUGAUAUUCUCUUUAAAACUUAAAAUUUGAAAUAGUUUAUCUUUAUAAAAAUUAUAAGAUAAUUUUUUUCCAAAAAAAUUUGGAUAGUUUCUUUCUCUAAAAUUAGAAAUAGUUUGCUUCUCUAAAAUUUUAAAAUACUUUCUAUGUCUGAAAUGUAAAAUUUGAGGUAGUAUCUCUCACUAAUUUAAGGUCGUGUUUUUGUGAAAUUAAUUUCGGAGGGUAAAAACAAUCAUACAAUUUUAUUUAUUUUUAGGAUGAAACGAAGAAAGACGAAAAUAUAUUUCAGUCCCAAAAUUUCGAUGCAAACCCUAGAAAUGUGUCAUUUCCCCUCAAAUACAUUAUAAAAUGUAUUUCUUAAGUAUCCAAACGGCCCCGAUGGUUUUACAUGACGGUGGGAACAGAGUGUACAUGCCACCGCGGGAGUAAAAAAUAUUUUUUAACUCUCUUCAACUGAUACUAUAAAUAGUCCCGCCUAUUAAGCCUUCAGACUAGAAACGAAGUUUUGUUACUCUUAAGUCUUACUCAAGCCCAUGUAGAUGAUCAUUUUAAGAUCUUUUUCCAGGUAUUUUUUUUGUCACUCAGUAAUUUCGAUUGUUUUUUUCUGGGUAUUUGAUCUCUAUAAUGGAAAAUCUCAGCAUUUUUGGAAGAUAUUAUUUCUCUUCCUUUCUUUUAUUUUCUUUCUACUUUUUCCUUCGUUUGUUUUGUGGAAUUUUGAAUUGGAAAUUAAGGUUACCUUUGCUCCGAUUGUGACUGAAAAAUUCAAAAAACAUUUGGUGGGUUUUUUAGUGUAAGUUGAACUGCAUGAUCAUUGAUCAUCUCUCUCUUUCUCUCUCUCUGAAGUAAUGUUCCUGUAUUACUUUUAUGAUGUUGGAAAAGGAACACCAUUUUCCAUUGCUUUGAUGUGUUAUGGCUCCCGAUUUACAAACAAAAGGUCUUCGCAUAUUCUGUUUGGAGUUUUUUGAGUAAAUAAGCUUAUGAGUCUUUUGCAUUAUUUCUUCCAGAGUGGAACAAGUAUCAAAGGUUUCAAAAGUUAUUUAUGAAUUACCAAAGCUUGUAAGCUCAUUUCAGGUAUUGAAAGAAGACUUAAUUUUGCUUUUCCUUUUUUUUUUUUAUUAAUUACUUUGAAAGUAGCCUUCUUUGGUGUUAUAUCUUUGCUUUAAUGCAGAUAGUCAAACUUUCAACUGCAUAGAUAAUUGGGAAAAGGGAAAUUUAUCAAAAUGCACCGAGAUGAACUAUUUAGCAGUUUCUGGUCUUUAAUUUAAUUUUGAAAAGUCCAUCAAAAUGCACACGAUCAUGAGUUGGAAUAGCUGAGAAAAGGGGUAAAAUGUCCAACAAUCGAAAAGCUAGGUGUAUUUAGAUAAAUUUCCCUUGGGAAAUUAAUCUUAUGGUGCAUAAAAUUCGCAUGUCUUUGGCAUGCAUUACACUAUAGAUAAUUGCCAUUCUUCUUGUUACGUUUACAUGACCAGAUUAUGUCAUCCAUUUCAGGGUUUUUGCCAUUGUAAUUAGUUUGAAGAAAGGAAUGGCGUUGUAAAUAUAAAAUUUGCUUUUUAAUUAUGCUUUCUAUUGUUGUUUUCCUCUUCAUUUUACUGUUUAUGUAUAUGCUAGGGUUCCAAUUACUAUGGCAAAGUUUGUUUGAGGAAAAUGGGGGAUAUGAAGGAUGUAGUGAAUGCAAUGGAUCAGAGCAAGAAGAGGAGAGCUGUGAGAGCAGUUUGGAUGCCGCUCAGUGCUCACUUGAGUUCUUCGGAAGGUUGGUUUCUUUCUAUUCUCUACUAUGGUUAUGUGUUCAGGGAGAAUUUUGAAUGAGAAAUGAGAAAACUUGGAAGAUAUUUCGCAUUUAUUGAGUGUUGUCAUUUGAAUGCUGCAUUUACUAUGCAUGGCGUCUUUUUUUUUUAUUUCCCCUUUUUCUCUUUUAUUUUAUUUUAUUUUAUUUUAAAGUUUUUAUCAUUAUUAUGGAAACAAAUUCAAUUGUGAGUUGUUCAUCAUUGUCUGGGUUCUUUCUAGAAACCAUUUUGGUUUACAAGUUCUUCUAUUUUGUGAUGAUGUGAAGUUUUUCUUUUUCCUUUUUAUUAAUGUACUAUUAUUGCUGAUUUAAUAAGUAACUCAAGAGAUACCUAUAAAUACAGAAUCUCCAUGGGUACUCCUAACAAUGAAUCCCCAUCUGGAGACCCAUAUGGAGAAAGGACAUCUAUGUAUACAUACUAAAGCUCUGUAUCCAAUGAACAGAUGUUCUCUAGAAUCCCUUUACGCUUGUCAGCUCUACAUCUCACCUUUCUGAUCUCUUGUUCUCCUAUGGGUGCUAUGGACAGGGCAUCUGUAUUUAUUUUUGUGCACUAUCUUCAAUUCCCAAUCCCUUUAUUCAAUUACAACUCUCUUUCUCUUAUGAUAAUAAUUGCCUGUAUUUAGCUGACCCCAACUAGUUGGGUUAAGGCUCGGAUGAUAAUGAUGAUGAUGAUCUUACUCUAGAAAUUCUAUUAUUACUCUGUCUCCAUGGCCCAAAAGAUAGCUAGAGGAAUUAUCGCUGGCGUAGAGUGGCCAAAAUCCCAAGAAAAAAUACAGCCCGUAUGGACUCUAGUAGUGCCCCUGGACCAUAGAGACCUAAAAUAUGAACCUAAAACCCUGUUCCAUGAAUGAUCUAAUAAAUUGCAACCAUCCGCUAGAAAGAUUGCUCAUCAUGCCAAGCCUAUUAAUGCUCACCUUCUUUUCUCUACAACUCCUUUCUACUGUCUAUAUAUCAUUCUCUUGUGGAACACUUAGGUUUCGUGUGAUUUUUGGAAUUGCUGAGUGUUCCUAUGGGACUGUGUAUGUGUGUGUGUGUACACACAUAUUUGGGUGAGGUUUAUAUAAGGCACCCCCCUUAUACUAUAUAGGUAAGGUGCGCCUCUAAAUUUUACCCAAAGAUGUAGUUCUUAAGUUGGAAACCUUAUGAUGCCUUGAAAAUCCAUGUUCCAACCCUAAUUAUGAAAUUUAAAAUUUCGAAAAUGUUACAAAUUGAGCAUAUCUAUAAACACUUGAAAAUCUUGAAAAUAGACAAUAACUUGAUAGAAGAUGCACUAUUUUUAGGACUUGAAAUUCUUUUUUUCUUUAUAUCUUGAUAUGAUCAAUUGGAAGGUUUUCCAACUUCGGAAAGCUCUUUUCUAUUGGAUCUUUGUGGUGCAUGUUACUUCUAUAGUACAAGGUUGCAACCUUAUAUAAACUGUUUCCUAUAUAUAUAUUAUUUUUGACAACGUCCUAUUUUCUCAUUUUACAGACUUGGGAAUCGAUAAAUCCAUAUUUAUCAAUCCAAAAACAUUUCAUUUGACUGUUCUCAUGCUUAAAUUGUGGAAUGAGGAACGCGUUGCUACAGCUGCUGAGGUUUUACAGGUAGAGGAUCAAUCCAUUCAAAAGUAUCAUAUGUACUAAUGGUAGGAGUUCCAAGGUUAUGAUUUUUUUGCUGAUACAUGCAGAAAGUCUCUCCAAAAGUGAUGAACGCUUUGAAAGACCAUCCAAUUUCCAUCAGGUUGAAAGGGUUGGUAUGUUUAUUUUAUUUUUUCCUUUUACUUCUACUCAAAAGUUCACGAUUUCCUUUCCUUUUCUUUCUUUUAUUUUGUUUUAUUUUUGUUUUUGGUGGCGGGGGAUGUAUGUAUUAUCAUUCAAUGAAUCCCUGAGUUUGAUGUUUCGAUUAUAUUUUCCUCAAGAUUAGCAUGUUGCUUCAUGUACCAGGUGAAGGCAGUAGGGCGUUAAAUAAAAAACUGAUGAGUAAGAAAAAAAAACUUAACCAUUUGAAGGGUUUACCUAUUAUUAAUGAUUUCUUGGUCUCAAGCAUUGCCCUAUAAUGGUCCAUUCUUUUUUUAAUAGGUUUCUCAUAUGUUAAUGUGUUUUCAUAAUCUUUUGUUGAAGCUUAGUUUCCUUGUGUCAGAUGUUUGCUCAUAAUUUUUUAUUGUUGGGUAAUGUUCCUUGUAGUGUUUGUUCUCAACACCUCAUCUUUACAAUGUAAUGUAUUAGAGGCACUGCUGCACUGAGUCGUAUUCACUUCGACUAUCUAAAUGCUUGCAAUGAUUUAUUGUCUAGCAUAAUUUUAUUAGGAUUUUCUUACGGAUGAACUUUGUAUUUUCAGUAGUUUUGUCAUGACAUGGUUUGAACUUGAAGCUACGCUAAACUAGUUUGUAUAUCAUGCAGUUAAUGCAAUAACGUUUCCUAGUUCAAGUUCUGAGCUAGAAUAGGAAUUUGCUUCGGCACUGGAUGAUUUUUUCCCCUCAUUUCUCUGCAUGGAUUUUACUAUUUAGGUUUAAAAUAGCUGGAUUAUGAUGUUUUUUGAGAGAUUGCUUGGUUUUGUUGGUCUCGUAUAUAUUGAGAUUUUGCUGUUUCUUACAUUUUCCUUCUAAUAGUUAGUUGAAUGAGGCAAAUUACUUCUCAAGUGGAGUUAAUGUUGUAUGUAAUAAUAUGUUGAAAAUGAUGGAUCACUGAAAUCCUUAUAAAUAAAGAUUCUAAUGGCUAGUAAUGAUGCCUUUUCCUUGUUUAAUCUUUUGAUGGGUCUUGGGGCCUCAUAGAAUCACACUACCCUUAAUUUUCUUGAUUAUUGUAUUGCAUGUAGUUUUUGUGAUAUCACUUAGAUUUGCAGAUAUUCUCAAUCUCCAGUCUUGGAUGACUUCAUGUUAGUGUGUGUGUAUGAGGUGAAUUUUCAGGAAGUGCAUUGUUUCUCUCAUGUACAGGACUGCAUGAGAGGUUCAGUUUCAGAAGCCUGUGUUUUAUAUACUCCAGUUGAGGAGAUUGGUGGCGAGGGUCGCUUGAUGCGGGCUUGUCGUAUCCUGAAUAUAUGUAUAAUGUUUUUGUUUUUACCCCCCUUCAGAAGUUAUAUACAAUAUAUUUAUAAUAUUUCCAGUGCAACUUUAUGGAUAAUUGUCACCGAAAUAAUUAGUACACUAACUUUUUCCUUUUUCUUAAUUUUUUCUUUCUGAUGUUAUAUUUGAAUUUUCCUUUCUUGCUGAUUUUCUUGAGCUUUCCAUAGAAGUCAUUAUUGAUGCCUAUGUGAAAGCUGGCCUUGUUCUCCAGAAGGAUGCGUGCCAAAAGUUGAAGGUAUUGUAUUUUUUAUCCUAGUAUGAUCUGUGGCACCUUGUAAAAUGACUCAAUGUUAUAAUAGUUUUGAUAGUGGUGUUAUUUCUGUUUCUUAAAUUUUUAUUUCUUUUGCAAUGUUCUUUGGAGACAUUCAACUUAAUAGCUAUGUUCAUUAGGUCUGUAUUGUAGACUUCCAAUCUAGUGCACUAUUAUCAUCCAUGUAAAAUAAUUGUAAGAUUUACUUUGAAACCGAGUCACUGUUAUUUCUUUUUCUUGAAAACUGGGGGCUUUUCUAAGGUUUCCUCUAAUGGGAUUUUUUUAAGAUCGUAGCAUUAGGGUGGUGAUACAUUCCACUACUAUGAUUUAGGUCUGUUAAAAUAAUCAUAAAAAAUAACCAAAAGGAUAUCUAGAAAAUGGAAAAAAAAAAUACAGAAAACAGAACAUUAAGUGGUAAUGAUUAAAUUAGCUUUUUUUUUGCAGUUGCAUGGGACAGUCAUGAAUGUAAAGUUUAGGAAAAGGUACUUUUAUGUCUUCUCUUCCGUCUAUUGUCAUUUUGGGAAACUAUACCGGGGGAGUCUUUUGUGGUACAUGGUGCACAGCUGGACCAUCCACAGAUCAUUCACAAAAACGGAUGGUAGAGAUCAACUAAAAGCUACCUAUGAUGGACACAUUUAGAUUUAAUCUGCACCUUCCAUUGUGGAGAAUGGUCAGUGGAUGCCCCAGAUGUGUAUCGCGUACAGGCUGUAUAUAUAUGCUUUCCUUUUUAGCUUUGAUAAUAGAUUUUGCACCGUCAAAGUUUGGAAAAGGAAUGGUAAAACCCAUAUUUGAUAAAUUUGCAAUUGCGCGUCAUUACUGUCGCUGUUUAGGACGACGAGAACGAGGAAGAUCGGUUCCUUUGAUGCUCGCGACAUUUUCGAACGAUAUGGGUCUGAAGAGUGGGGUGAGUAUGUGAUUGGUGAGGCGCAUUUAUCGCAUUUACAUGUUCAAUAAGUGUUUUUAUUGGGUAGUUUUUGAAUUAGGAUUUUGUCUCUUACUGUAUGGAUUGUUAAUCAGAUUAUGCAAUUAUUUUAUUUUCAAAGAAGAAAAAUCUAAUUGUGUUUUUCAUUUCUUGAUGUAUGCCCUUUUUGUUGCUAAACACAAUUCAUGCUUCACCUUCAUCGCUCAUUGUUGGGAACCUUUGUGGAUGCCCUGUCUAUGCACAUGUACAGGCUGUGUAUGUGAUAUACUUCCCUUCCCAACUAACAAAGUGGUCGUUACAAAAGAUUUGCCAUGUUUUUGAUCAAGAUUUAUAAGGUCAAGGGGGAUAUUAAAAGUAAUCUGAUUAUAGGAUCUUUGUACAUAUGUCUAUGUCUGGGAUUAAUAGCUAUUUAAUUUUGGUUAGAUAUUCAAAAGUAUGUCGAUAACAAUAUCGCAUGUCAAUACUAGUUAUUUUUAUGGGGUUAUAAAUUUUUGAUAUUGAAAAGUGAUAUUAUUUUAGUCUGGUUAUAAUUUUUUAAAAUUGAAAUGUAGCAUUGAAAAUAUUUGAUAUUAUUAGUAGUCGACUGUUAGCUUUCUGCUGAAGGUCGGAUGGUGUCCCCCUAAGCACGUUUUAACUCCUCGAAUGGGAAUAUUAAUAUCUUGGGAAAUGAUGGGAUGCCCAAAUGCUAAAAAUCAAAGGGGGGGGGGUGGUCAGUGCUGACGCAACGAUGUUCGAUGGUCUUACACGCGAUUAAGGUAUGGUCUGAGCAUAGAGAUCCUAGUGAGAGAAAGUCGCAAUAAAUGUCAUCAAAUAUGUGUUUCUUAGUUACAUGCAUAGGCGAAGAUAUUUCUAGUGAGAAAAACCAUGCAACAAAUAUAAUGCAAUUGUUUAAUAACGAAAAAGUUUAUAUAAGGGUGAGGCUGUAAACAAUUAAAUUAAGGCUGACUUCAAAAGUGUGAGGCUGUAAGCAUUCGUAAUCUUUCGCCCUUUUCCCCCCUGCUGUUGUCCAAGAUAUUUAACAUGACAUUCUGAAAUAGAAUGGUAAAAGAGGCUACAUUUGUAAAUAUGCUUGAUUAUUCUAUACCGUCUUCCAUGAAGGUUCUAAUAAAUUGCAACCAUCCACUAGAAAGAUUUGCUCAUCAUGCCAAGCCUAUUAAUGCUCACCUUCUUUUCUCUACGACUCCUUUUCUACUGUAUAUAUAUCAUUCUCCUAUGAAACGCUUAGGUUUCGUGUGAUUUUUGGAAUUGCUGAGUGUUCCUAUGGGACUGUGUAUGUGUGUGUGUGUACACACAUAUUUGGGUGAGGUUUAUAUAAGGCACCCCCCUUAUACUAUAUAGGUAAGGUGCGCCUCUAAAUUUUACCCAAAGAUGUAGUUCCUAAGUUGGAAACCUUAUGAUGCCUUGAAAAUCCAUGUUCCAACCCUAAUUAUGAAAUCUAAAAUUUCGAAAAUGUUACAAAUUGAGCAUAUUUAUAAACAAUUGAAAAUCUUGAAAAUAGACGAUAACUUGAUAGAAGAUGCACUAUUUUUAGGACUUGAAAUUCUUUUUUUCUUUAUAUCUUGAUAUGAUCAAUUGGAAGGUUUUCCAACUUUGGAAAGCUCUUUUCUAUUGGAUCUUUGUGGUGCAUGUUACUUCUAUAGUACAAGGUUCCAAGCUUAUAUAAACUGUUUCCUAUAUAUAUAUUAUUUUUGACAACGUCCUAUUUUCUCAUUUUACAGACUUGGGAAUCGAUAAAUCCAUAUUUAUCAAUCCAAAAACAUUUCUUUUGACUGUUCUCAUGCUUAAAUUGUGGAAUGAGGAACGCGUUGCUACAGCUGCUGAGGUUUUACAGGUAGAGGAUCAAUCCAUUCAAAAGUAUCAUAUGUACUAAUGGUAGGAGUUCCAAGGGUAUGAUUUUUUUGCUGAUACAUGCAGAAAGUCUCUCCAAAAGUGAUGAGAGCUUUGAAAGACCGUCCAAUUUCCAUCAGGUUGAAAGGGUUGGUAUGUUUAUUUUAUUUUUUCCUUUUACUUCUACUCAAAAGUUCACGAUUUCCUUUCCUUUUCUUUCUUUUAUUUUGUUUUAUUUUUCUUUUUGGUGGCGGGGGAUGUAUGUAUUAUCAUUCAAUGAAUUUUCGAGUUUGAUGUUUCGAUUAUAUUUUCCUCAAGAUUAGCAUGUUGCUUUAUGUACCAGGUGAAGGCAGUAGGGUGUUAAAUAAAAAAAUGAUGAGUAAGAAAAAAAAACUUAACCAUUUGAAGGGUUUACCUAUUAUUAAUGAUUUCUUGGUCUCAAGCGUUGCCCUAUAAUGUUCCAUUCUUUUUAUAAUAGGUUUCUCAUAUGUUAAUGUGUUUUCAUAAUCUUUUGUUGAAGCUUAGUUUCCUUGUGUCAGAUGUUUGCUCAUAAUUUUUUAUUGUUGGGUAAUGUUCCUUGUAGUGUUUGUUCUGNNNNNNNNNNNNNNNNNNNNNNNNNNNNNNNNNNNNNNNNNNNNNNNNNNNNNNNNNNNNNNNNNNNNNNNNNNNNNNNNNNNNNNNNNNNNNNNNNNNNNNNNNNNNNNNNNNNNNNNNNNNNNNNNNNNNNNNNNNNNNNNNNNNNNNNNNNNNNNNNNNNNNNNNNNNNNNNNNNNNNNNNNNNNNNNNNNNNNNNNNNNNNNNNNNNNNNNNNNNNNNNNNNNNNNNNNNNNNNNNNNNNNNNNNNNNNNNNNNNNNNNNNNNNNNNNNNNNNNNNNNNNNNNNNNNNNNNNNNNNNNNNNNNNNNNNNNNNNNNNNNNNNNNNNNNNNNNNNNNNNNNNNNNNNNNNNNNNNNNNNNNNNNNNNNNNNNNNCUAUUUCUGUUUCUUAAUUUUUUAUUUCUUUUGCAAUGUUCUUUGGAGACAUUCAACUUAAUAGCUAUGUUCAUUAGGUCUGUAUUGUAGACUUCCAUUCUAGUGCACUAUUAUCAUCCAUGUAAAAUAAUUGUAAGAUUUACUUUGAAACCGAGUCACUGUUAUUUCUUUUUCUUGAAAACUGGGGGCUUUUUUAAGGUUUCCUCUAAUGGGAUUUUCUUAAGAUCGUAGCAUUAGGGUGGUGAUAAAUUCCACUACUAUGAUUUAGUUCUGUUAAAAUAAUCAUAAAAAAUAACCAAAAGGAUAUCUAGAAAAUGGAAAAAAAAAAUACAGAAAACAGAACAUUAAGUGGUAAUGAUUAAAUUGGCUGUUUUUUUGCAGUUGCAUGGGACAGUCAUGAAUGUAAAGUUUAGGAAAAGGUACUUUUAUGUCUUCUCUUCCGUCUAUUGUCAUUUUGGGAACUAUACCGGAGGAGUCUUUUGUGGUACAUAGUGCACAGCUGGACCAUCUACAGAUCAUUCACGAAAACGAAUGGUAGAGAUCAACUAAAAGCUACCUAUGAUGGACACAUUUAGAUUUAAUCUGCACCUUCCAUUGUGGAGAAUGGUCAGUGGAUGCCCCAGAUGUGUAUCGCAUACGGGCUGUAUAUAUAUGCUUUCCUUUUUAGCUUUGAUAAUAGAUUUUGCACCGUCAAAGUUUGGAAAAGGAAUGGUAAAACCCAUAUUUGAUAAAUUUGCAAUUGCGUGUCAUUACUGUCACUGUUUAGGACGGUGAGAACGAGGAAGAUCGGUUCCUUUGAUGCUCGCGACAUUUUCGAACAAUAUGGGUCUGAAGAGUGGGGUGAGUAUGUGAUUGGUGAGGCGCAUUUAUCGCAGAGGUUCAAGUAUGAACGAAGUGGCUACUAUCAUCGUUGCGCUUCAAUUCCCUUCCCUUAGAGCCUGGAAGAUUAAUAGUUCUUUUUUUUUCUUUUUCUUUUUAUUUACGUGUUCAAUAAGUGUUUUUAUUGGGUAGUGUUUGAAUUAGGAUUUUGUCUCUCUUACUGUAUGGAUUGUAAAUCAGAUUAUGCAAUUAUUUUAUUUUCAAAGAAGAAAAAUCUAAUUGUGUUUUUCAUUUCUUGAUGUAUGCCCUUUUUGUUACUAAACAAAAUUCAUGCUUCACCUUCAUCGCUCAUUGUUGGGAACCUUUGUGGAUGCCCUGUCUAUGCACAUGUACAUGCUGUGUAUGUGAUAUACUUCCCUUCCCAACAAACAAAGUGGUCGUUACAAAAGAUUUUCCAUGUUUCUGAUCAAGAUUUUUAAGGUCAAGGGGGAUAUUAAAUGUAAUCUGAUUAUAGGUUCGUUGUACAUAUGUAUAUGUCUGGGAUUAAUAGCUAUUUAAUUUUGGUUAGAUAUUCAAAAGUAUGUCGAUAACAAUAUCGCAUGUCAAUACUAGUUAUUUUUAUGGGGUUAUAAAUUUUUGAUAUUGAGAAGUGAUAUUAUUUUAGUCUGGUUAUAAUUUUUUAAAAUUGAAAUGUAGCAUUGAAAAUAUUUGAUAUUAUUAGUAGUCGACUGUUAGCUUUCUGCUGAAGGUCGGAUAGUUUCCCCUUAAGCACGUUUUAACUCCUCCAAUGGGAAUAUUUAAUAUCUUGGGAAAUGAUGGGAUGCCCAAAUGCUAAAAAUCAAAGGGGGGGGGGGGGGUGGUCAGUGCUGACGCAACGAUGUUCGAUGGUCUUACACGCGAUUUAGGUAUGGUCUGAGCAUAGAGAUCCUAGUGAGAGAAAAUCGCAAUAAAUGUCAUAAAAUAUGUGUUUCUUCGUUACAUGCAUGGGCGAAGAUAUUUCUAGUGAGAAAAACCAUGCAACAAAUAUAAUGCAAUUGUUUAAUAACGAAAAAGUUUAUAUAAGGGUGAGGCUGUAAACAAUUAAAUUAAGGCUGACUUCAAAAAUUCGUUAGAAAAUCUUAUUUUGAUACUAAAAAAUCUUUAAAUUGAUCAUCUUAAUCUCAAGAGCUAUGGAAAUGAGAAAAAAUGAAUUUAAGUCUUGGAAAUAGUCUUAUCUUGUAAUAUAUUUUUGGACCGUUAAUUUUCGAGUAUUUAUAGAUCUAUUCAAGUGUUCAUAGAUCUAUUCGAUAUAUAUUAUUUUAAGGGUGUGGUUUUUGCAACUUUAAACAAUCACCUCCAAAUUUUAUUAUAACAUGUACUUUUGGCAUAAAAAAUUCUUAAUAUUAUUUGAAAAUAUAUUUUUAUAUUUAAUUAUAAAAUUUUAAACUCAAAACUUGAUUAAGUCAAUUUGAUUUAUAAACAUAUAAAAAUCUUGAAAAUUGACGGUUUAGAUAAAAAUCUUGAAAAUUUGACGGUCUGCAAACAUAUAAAAAUCUCGAAAAUCUGAGGCUCAAAAUAUUUUUCUUUUUCAUAUUGAUAUAUGUGGUUUUUCAACAUUAAAACAACCUUUUUUCCGAUGGAGUUUUGAGGUGCAUAUGUAAUUCUACAUUUUAAGGUUGCAACUUCAUGUAAACUUUUUCUUUUGAAGCUUUAAAUUUUAUAAUUAGAUAUGAAAGUAAAUUUCCAAACCUUCACAAAAAUUUCUAAUACCGAAAAACAUAUUCUAGCCGUAUUUAAAGGUGCGGCCUACUUUGAUUGUUUGGAGCGUCAGCCCUAUAUAAAUCACACCCUUCCAAAAAAAAACACUUGCCAGGCAAUAUUCUAAGUGAACCAGUUCGACUUGGGAAAUUCCGAAGCCGGAUUGAGCUGUUCAUUUAUCAUCCAUGAUUUGCUUCUAAUGUGAAUCUGAGAAUGAACUACAGUUACCAUGAAUGCAUAAUUUAUAAAAAAAAAUUGAUUACAAUUUCAAUGGCCAGAACGAAUCUGAGAAUAAACUACAGUUACCAUGAAUGCAUAAUUUAUAAAAAAAUUGAUUACAAUUUGAAUGGCUACAACCGGGAAAAGUACAAACUGCACGCCCAUAAGAUUUGAUUGCAUCACAAGGCUACAGUUUCUUAGACAUACCUGAACUAUAUUUACAGUAAUGAAGCAUGAACCAUAUUAAUGUACUCUGUUCUUUCUUCCAAACAAGACAGACACCAUUAACGCCAAACUCCACCAUAUUUUAGUAGUUUUAGUUGUACUACGUUUGUUUUCAAGCUUUUCUCCUUAUUUUUUUUAUAGAGAGAGAGAAAGAGAGAGGACAUUUCAAUCCUUUUUUUUAUCUUUGUGACAAUUACCCCUGAUACAUUAUCUCUAUCACAAAAAAAAAAAUCUCUAUUUUGUCAUAGUAAAUUUUUCCAAUGUUGAUAAUAACUUUGAUAAUUUCCCCAAAAAAAUUAUUUUAUCUUUUAUCCUCUUUUCUUGAAUGUUAAGUUGGGAUGAAACUCUAUACGUCAUGUUGUGGCACCCGCCACUUUUACCCUCUUUGCCUAGAGCACAUUUGCUCAGUUAAAAUCAAUUUAUUAAAAUAUUUUUAUGCUUCUAUUACUAUAAAAAUACAAUUUUUCUCUUGAUAAUAAAUAUGAAAGAGACUCAUCAUCUACAUAAAAACAACUCAAAGAAUCAGUUAAGGCAGAUGGGGAAAAAUUUGUAAGAAAGUGAUAAUUUGACAUGUAUGUUAAGCUAGUAAUUUGGGAAGUGAAUUUUGAUAUUUUAAUUUCUUUAUAUACUAGAAACUGUUUCCAACUUUAUCAUUUAUGUAAUUUUCUGAUUUGUUGAAUAUGUGAAUUGCUUAUAAUUUGAUUUCACAUUUUACUUAUCUCACUAAAAAUUUGUUCCAAAAUACAUAGUAUAUUAAAGUCCCAAUAAUCAUUCAAUAAAAUCCUGAAAAAAGAGAUAAUCAUGAUAUUAUCCUGAAAUUCCUUGGUGAUAAUAUCCCGAUAAAAAUAAUUGUCACUACAAUUCUUGUAUAUCAUGUGUGUUUGUAUGCAGUAGGGAUGGCUAUCUUACUAUACCACUUUCUCUUGGGGAGAGAUAAGGGCAAGGGCAGGUGGGGGUGGGGCACCAGUGCUGAGAGAUGGGGAACAUGGCUUCUGCCUCCCUCCUAAAGAAAAAGGAACCCUAAAUGUCAAGGUUUCUACUUUCCAAUUUGUUUUUUCUUAUUGUAUAAGUCAGUCUGUGAACUUCCCUUGGGGCCCAUUUGUGAGACUUUAUAUUUGGGUAGGUAAGCAUGAUAUUUUCAUUCAAAAAACUUAAGGAUCCAUGUCAAGGCAUCCACACCACUAUGCUGAGGCCCUAAAAAAGACCUAGUUUCCAAGAUACUGUUUUCAAGUGCCCAUUGUUAAGAAUGUGGAGCACUUUAUACUGUACUUCUCUUCCUUUAUUGUAUUGUAAAUACAAAAAUGUUUUUAGUGAGUCAGCCCAUUCAUGCAUCCCUUUUCAUGGUUAUAGAUCUCAAAUCAUUGGGUAUCCAUUUUCGUUCUGUAUCUAUGAAUUUGGAGCUCCAAAAAUAAUGCACAUAUGAUGUUUUUUUAAAAAAUGAUUUAAACGGUCGACAUGAAAAGAUACAAGAUGGAUCACUUUUAGGACUCGGACUUUUCUUUGUUAUGUUUUUACAAAUUUAUUAUUGUGGCUUUCGAGAUGAUAAAUCCAUAAAAUUUUGGAUCUAAAUCAUCCAAAUGAAAUCUAAGUGACUUAUCUAGUUUUCCUUUACCAAAACCUGCUUUUUUACUUAUCACUAAUAAAUAAAAUUGACACAAGUUUUUCCAUGUUUAACCUCGAAAAGGUCUUAAUAGAAGGUUCUUAUUUUUGUCCUUGAUUGUGUGGGUUUGAAAAGAAGAUAGCAUUUAAAAUAUUUAAAAGACCAGAAAAAGAAAGGUGAAAUUCUCCCUUAUCUCAUAGAGACUAGAACCAAUGUAUUCAAGACAUAUCAAGAGAUGAUAAUGACAGUUGAAAAUUGACGAUAAUGACAAUUGAAAUUUUUUAUGAUUAGUAGGGCAUGAAAGUGGUGACUUUUAAAAUUGAAUUGAUAGCAUGAAAACUGACAAAAAUUUCAAGGGUUUUGACUGUUGGGCAGUGAUCAAAGUGUUGCCCAAUUAACUUUAAGAUUCAGGUGCCACAUUAUUAAGACAUUAUUCAGGAAAGGGGCUGGUCAUGGUGGUAGCAACCCCAUACUUAGUUAUUACGUUGUGGUUUUCAAUCCUGCUGACACCACCCACCGACACCUUCAUACAAGCUGACUCUCUUAUCGAUAUGAAAAAAUUGAUAGGGGCCUUUCUUCCCCACUGAAUUACCUGCAAAAAAAAAGAAAAAAAACAAAUUUCAAUGGUGGGAUAAGGACAACCAACCAUUCCUCGUGAGCAAUACUGCCUUCUGAAAAGAUCCUCUUAGUUAACAUAAGUAGCUAAGAUUUGAUGUGAGAACUGCAUUCUUAGUUAACAUAAGUAGCUAAGAUUUGAGGUGAGAACUGCAUUUUAUAUGAGAUUUGGGAUAUAAUUUUAUAUGAGAUUUGGGAUAUAAUUCUCUAGAAGGUGGUUUUCCAUUUAACCUUUGUUCUUUCUUGGUGCUUAGUGUAUCUUGAUUCAUGUCUUCUGCUUUUUUUUUGUUUUACAAGUAAUGGAUUAAUGCUAAAUAUUGCUUCAUUAAUAUCUUUAGGUCGAAGCAUUUUCAAGAACGUGGUAUUCAUUUGAAAGGCUACAACACAUGAAAUCCUAACAUUUUCGUCAUGCAUAGCUUGUAUUUGCUUAGUUAUAGUACCAGGGGCAUGCUUAGUGGAAUAGUGAAAUUUGAUUGACAUUAAGCGGCAUGUAUAAAGUAGAUGCUGGUCCUAUUGAUCCUUGAGGUGUAGAUGUUUUUUUUUUUAAGUGAUUAUCAGUAUUUUUGUAAAUGAUCUCUUAAGCCAUAAUGGGCUGCUUUAAUUUAUUCCAUCAUUUGUGGAAACAAAGUAGACAUCUUUAGGAAACUAUCGACCACAUUUAUGUUACACAUAAGCUAUUUUUGAAUUAGUUUCUUUUAAAGGGACCAUUAAUGGUGUAUUCUUUAUUAUCUUUGGAUUUAAUAUUUAUUAGUUCUAGAUGAAUCCUCUCUCUGUUUGCAUUCUUAAAGUUGUUUGAUGCGACGGUUUGAUUAGUGCAGCUUGAGACAACAACUACUUAUCUCUAGUAUCAUAAUCUAGAUAUGGGAGGUCUUGGAGUUGCAGUAUGUGCUCAUGCGAAGCAUGUUUCAAUAGCCGUUGAUUAAUCGCCAUGGUUGGUGUUUGAGUAUUAGAACAUAAAGUAUCAAAUUUGAAAUCUUACACAUAGAUUUCCAAAUUAAUGAUGGGUGUAGAACUUGUGAGUUAUGGCUUAACGAGCAUAGAACUUAUGAAUUAAGGAGCCAAUCAGUAGCUACGAGGUCCUUAAGCUACGUCCGACUUUUUUUCAUCCACUAAGAUGUAACCGAGGCGUAUGGAUUUUUGUGGGUAAUGCUGGUAUGGAUGCUUUUGUCGUCUGAAAGCACAUAAUUGUGAGUCUUGAUUGAUCCGUUGCAAGUUCUCCAUAAACCAGCAAUAUAGAAAGAAUCUUCUCUCUAUGGAACUCAAAUAACACCUGGAAUAACGGAAAAUAUCAGCAAAUGGAGGAGAAAUAACUUCAACAAGGGAUGAAUGAGAAGGCAAAAGCUAAAACAAAAUAUUUUUUCAAAAUAGAGAAAGCAGUCAAUAGCUAUGAGGGAGCUCAUUACGGCUCAAACCUCUCUAUAGAUGCUUCAUAUUCUGUCAAAAAACUCUUGACUAAAUUUGUGCUUCAAAAAAACCUUGAUCUGAAGCUCCUUAACUUUCCUAUUUUUAGAGAUUUUGGGAACUGGGUGCAAGCGAUUUUUGUAAUUGGGAGCAUGCAUGAGAGAGGGCUGUGUUCUCUAUCUUAAGCUAAACAAAGUUAUUGAGCUUAAAUAGGUUAGUGUCUUUUGUAUAGCUGACCCCAAAUAGUUGGGAUAAGGCUCAGAUGAUGAUGAUGAUUGAUAUGAGUCUUUUAAGGGCUGUUUUGUGUCCAUUUAUAAUGUUGUUUAGUAAAAUCUUAUCUUGAUUUGAUAUGUUCAUUUAUAUUCCUUCUGAACAAUGGUUUCUGUCUAUUUUUUUCGUUUAUAUAGAUAUAGCAGUCUUAAAUAUCAUGUAUCAAAUUAUUGAUCCACAUAUGCGGGUUGACACACCUUUGAUACGCUUCAUUAAAGGAAAAGGGUAUGGCUGUGAAUGAUCAUGCACUACCUUUUGUUUGUUUCUAACUGCAUAUAUCCUCUCAAUUGUACAAAAGUUUGUUAUGAGAUUUCUUAUUAUUAGAAUAUGCUGGUACUAGCAUAAAUUCUCCACAGUGGCUGAUUUUUUGAACAUUCCCCCUCAGGGGAAAUACACAAAAGCAAAUUGAGAUGGAGACUGGAGUAAAAAUCAAAUUUCCAUUGUCAAAAGAGGAGACAUCAAUUGGUAGCCAUCUCCACAGUUUUUUGUUUAUUUUUCUAUUUAAUUUUGGUUUUCACUAUUGAACGAGAGUCAGCUCUAGUGAUUAGUUUACAUUUGGAAUUGGAAUUUAUUUUAUUUGCUUUGUGUGUAACUACACACAUGGUAUAUUUUCAUUUAUAUCCUGUUAGGACUAAGGCAUUCACUCAACAUCGCCUUUACAACUUUUGGCUCUUUGUUAGAUCCUUGAGUCAUAUAUGUGAUCAAUAUAUCUUUGGAUUUCUAUCCUAAUGCUUUUUUUUUUUUGGUAAGAUUCCUAAUACUGUACGUAAAGUAUGUAAAGUAGUGCAUAUAUAGUAGUGUUAUAUGCGUAAGAUAUUCCUUCUUGUUGUGUAAGAACACCAUCAAGUGUGUUCUUUGACAUGAAACUUUCAACAUGGCAUCUAUAGGUAUUUCUAGAGAAGUGCCCGUCCUUCAUAUAUGGUUUACACUAUUGGUUUACCCUAAUACUGUAUAUACAAUAGCGUAAACCAUAUAUGAAUGACCGGCUCUUCUUCAAAAAUACCUAUACAUCAUACUUGAUGGUGAUGCUUCUUGACCAAGAUAGAAUAUCUUUUGCAUAUAUGAAUGGCUGGCUCUUUUCCAAAAAUACCUAUACAUCAUACUUGAUGGUGAUGCUUCUUGACCCAGAUGGAAUAUCUUAUGUCAUCAUCAUCAUCCAAGACGUAAUAUCUUAUGUGGAUUUCAAUUCUGUGUGCUUAACAUCCAUCAUGCUUAUCAUUACGUGGCACAUCGGUAGUCUUUGAUUGAUGAGUAAUCGAAAUGGAAUAUGCAGAGAAAGUGUGGGGAAAGGGCCUAUAAAAGGUUGGAUAUGAUUUUUUCAAUAAUUUUCUGGUCGGGAAUGACAAGAGUUUAUGCGACUAAGCAUAAGGACAAACCACCGGCGGCUUUACAUCUAUUUUCAAGAUUUCUUCUUCCAGAUUUGUGCGACCAUUAUAUCACCGACAAUCUCUGACCAUCCAUCUGUACGCAAUAUCCACCAUCCAGAAAAGCAACAAAAUGGAACUGAAACCCCUUUGAAGUCCAGAGGCUAGAAAUAGCCAAGACCUCCGAAAGCGGAAGAGCUCAGACUUCUCUCUCUCUCUCCUUCUCCUAGUCUCAGACUUUGUCUCUCUUCUCUCCAUUGUAAAAUUCUCUGUAAGAUUUGUGAUCGUAAUAUAGACGAUCUGCCUGUCUAUUACCCAGCCGGGUGGAAACUAUUCUGCAGUUAUUGUAUCCGUAAACAGUAAGCUUUUUCAUUCCUUUCUGUAAUAUGUUUUAUAUGAGUUUGUAAUAUGCUUGUAUGAUGUCAUCCAUGAGUCUAUAUUCAUAUUUAUAAAAUAUGUGGUUGAAAGCCGUCUUUAGCAUUAAAUUUUUUCAGUCUACAUAUACUACUUGGAUAGUCUUAGAUAUUGCUCCAUUCUCAAUAUUUAUGAUUCUAGUCAUAUUUAUAUAUUUCCGAUAUAUUAGAAUGUUAGUCUAAUUUCUGUUAUAAAUUGUUUCAAAUUUCUGUUUCCAAUUCGAUCUUGGUGUUGAUGGUAUCAGAGCCAGAAUAGUAUUACUUCUCAUCUGCAAUAUGCAGAUGAUACAUGUAUUUUCUGUGAAGCUAACUUCAAUAUCGGUGAAGAGCUUAUACCUCUUUCUGAGAUGCUUAGAGUUAGCUUCAGGCAUGGUAGUGAACAUUUCAAAAACAAAGUUCUUGGGUGUCUCAGUCCCUGAACCUGCAAGCCUAGUGGGAUGUGUAGGGAGGGGAAAAUUAACAAAUAAGAGCCAUGGAUUGCCGAUGGGCAAAGGCCACCCAGCCAAGGCACGAUAGGGAGGAGUUAUAGAGAGAGAGUCCAAAACAAGUUAGCAUCUUGGAAGCUUAGGGUUCUGUCAAUGGGAGCCAUUGCUCUUAUUAAAUCUACCCUUUCAAACCUUUGUAUUUACAAUAUAUCCUUGUUUCCGAUCCUUGCUUCAGUGGCAAAAGAAAUUAAAAAGCUUGCGAGGAAUUUAUUUACUUAUUUUUCUACGGAUGGUGAUGUGAGAAGGACGAUUUUCUUCUGGUGAGAUGGGACAGUGGGUGCAAACCGAGAAGUAAAUAAGGCCUAGGAAUCAGAAGAAAUAAAGAAAUGAAUCAGGUGUUGUGAGCCAAAUGCUAGCAGAUGUUUGGAAGCUGGGACUUAAUCAUACCAUCUUUGAGAACAAGUUAUUUAGAGCAAUUAGGGGAGAGAUAUUAGGAUUUUUUUUUGAAACCAUAUGAGCAUAGCUCUAGAUUCUCAAGGGUUUGGAGAGGGAUUAACGGAAUUAGAUAUGCUUUCAUUAGCUUGAUCAGAUUCUAGGUUGGAAAUGGAAGGUAAACUAAGUUUGGGCUUAAUACAUGGCUGGGGGAGUCACCUCUUGUUAGUAAUUGCCCUGUCCUGGCCGAAAAUCUGGAGGUAUCAGUGACUGAUCUAAUGGUGAAGGGCUUUGAUUGACUUUCAAAUCCUCUCUUUGGAGACCCUUUGAAGAAGAUGAAUUCAAAGCCUUUAAGAAUUUUUUGGUAGAGCUAUGGGGAAUCUUCUUUCAGGCCUGAUAGAAAGACAAUCUCAUAUGAUCCCAAGGGUGAAUUUUCUGCAAAAUCAUUGUAUCGAGCCAUGACCUGGUGCUUGGAAAAGAACAACGCCAGAAACAGAGUGUGAAGUAUUCCUUGGCCAUUCCAAAACCAAGUCCUUGCAUGGUUCAUGAUCCUUGAUAGUGUUCUAGCUGUCGACCACGACUGGUUGAGGAGUAACCGUACCCAAUGUAUGUCUCUAUUUCUAUUGUGCAGGGUAAAGAGAAGCAGUUGGCCAUCUUUUUCUGCGUUUCUCGUGGCUUCAGAGAUAUGGACCUUUACACUGAAGCAGUUCGCUUCAUAUGAGUACAGCAAUCCGUAAAAGCACUUUUUUGCAGUGGUUCGCCGCUUACUCAUUGUUAGGGAAGAAAGGACUAAUACUUUGGGGCUGACCGUAUUAGGGGCACUGUAUAUAACAUAUGGUUAGAGAGGGAGAGGAUAUGCUUCAAAGAUCAAAAGUGAAAGAUGGGGAGGGCCAAAGAGAAUCUCAGGACAUUAACCGUCUCUUGGGAGAGUAUUAGAAAAGAUUUCAAAGGCUAUUCUCUGGAAGACUUUAUUUGUGAUACUUUGUUCUUCUUGUCUUUUCUGUUUGAAUUGGAUAUGUGAUCUUCGUCAUAUCUUGUGUGAAUGUGACUAUGACUUUCGUUUAUUUUCAUCUGCAGUGGCUGAGGGUUCUUCGGUUGGAAAUGUGUCCAGAGCUUCAGAGCAGGUAAAUACUAUUCUUGAGGAGGUUUGUUUCUAUUUCAGCAUCAUGUUCUAAGGGUUUCUAUCUUGUGGAAAUCUGGUUUUAGGUGUCAAAAUUGUGUCGUCUUGAUGCUAGCUGCUUACCAGUUCAUCUCGUUGCUUUAUGCAAUGUGGCUCCACUCAGCAAAUUAAAGCACGUGCUUUUUAAAGUUCACACCAUCUUGGAAUAUUAAAGUAGUUAAUAAAUUUUGGGAAAUCUAUCUUUAUUGUUCUGAUAGAGCAAGGCGUAGUAUUUUGGUUGCCUACAAUAUCUGUUUCUUUUUAAUUCAUUUUGGGUCCUGAGGACUGAUCUUUAAGACAUCUUGAGUAGUAUAAGAAUGAUGGAUAUGCAUUCACACUUGAAUAUUUUUAAUUUGCAUGCAUGACUACGUAUGUUGUUCCACUCGAGUAAUCAUCUUUGUUUUAUGGCUGGUGAGUGCAGGCAGAUUACUCCCAUUUCAUAUCUCUACCUUUGGCAGUUCACCCUGGACUUGUAGAAAAGCUACAGAAUUUUCAGAAUUCAAUAUUGGGAAAUUUAGAUAGUAGUCAAGGUAAACAAGGGAGUGAUUCAAAUGAAGGAACAUCAGAUGAAGUAGAUUGUGAUGGCCUUGUUGGUGGAGAUUCUUGUGUUUCUGUUCAAUGACUGUUUAUCUUGUAUAUGGAGUUUCCCUUUUUUACAAUGAUUUUUUCUUGUUCCAUUUGAUUUUACAGGCACAUGUAUCGUUUCUCAUUCUACUGAGAUCUUUAUAUGUUUAUAUUGAGGGUUCCAACUUGAAUUGACGAUAGAUAAAAUCAUCAACUUAGUUUUCUGCCUCUUUCUUUCUACCACCCCCACCCACCCACCCACCCACCCACACCCAGACACACACUAAGAAAAAGAAAAGCCUGCUUAACUCGGUUUAUCUUCUACACUUUGUAUGUUGUAGUCGGUUUUUUGUGUCCAGUUUCAUUUCAUGACAUUAUUCUCUAAGCAUUCGUAAUCUUUCGCCCUUUUCCCCCCUGCUGUUGUCCAAGAUAUUUAACAUGACAUUCUGAAAUAGAAUGGUAAAAGAGGCUACAUUUGUAAAUAUGCUUGAUUAUUCUAUACCGUCUUCCAUGAAUGUUCUAAUAAAUUGCAACCAUCCACUAGAAAGAUUUGCUCAUCAUGCCAAGCCUAUUAAUGCUCACCUUCUUUUCUCUACGACUCCUUUUCUACUGUAUAUAUAUCAUUCUCCUAUGAAACGCUUAGGUUUCGUGUGAUUUUUGGAAUUGCUGAGUGUUCCUAUGGGACUGUGUAUGUGUGUGUGUGUACACACAUAUUUGGGUGAGGUUUAUAUAAGGCACCCCCCUUAUACUAUAUAGGUAAGGUGCGCCUCUAAAUUUUACCCAAAGAUGUAGUUCUUAAGUUGGAAACCUUAUGAUGCCUUGAAAAUCCAUGUUCCAACCCUAAUUAUGAAAUCUAAAAUUUCGAAAAUGUUACAAAUUGAGCAUAUUUAUAAACAAUUGAAAAUCUUGAAAAUAGACGAUAACUUGAUAGAAGAUGCACUAUUUUUAGGACUUGAAAUUCUUUUUUUCUUUAUAUCUUGAUAUGAUCAAUUGGAAGGUUUUCCAACUUCGGAAAGCUCUUUUCUAUUGGAUCUUUGUGGUGCAUGUUACUUCUAUAGUACAAGGUUCCAAGCUUAUAUAAACUGUUUCCUAUAUAUAUAUUAUUUUUGACAACGUCCUAUUUUCUCAUUUUAC
rnacentral:lncRNA from 1 species